rnacentral:ncRNA from 1 species
AAACUUGUACGGUUUCGCGGGAAUUAAUAGGGAAGGCGGUUAAAGUCCGCCGCAACAGCCAUUACCGUGUUCAUUUUAAAGAAAGCAUUAUGCCACUGAGUUUUCGGGAAGGCGCUUUGUAAUAUAUGAUGUAAGCCGGGAGACCUGCCGUACUCG